GUUGUAUGGUUAAGUGACUAAGCGUACACGGUGGAUGCCUUGGCAGUCAGAGGCGAUGAAAGACGUAGUAACUUGCGAUAAGCCCAGAUUAGGUAGUAACAACCAUUUGAGUCUGGGAUUUCUGAAUGGGGAAACCCACUUACAUAAGUAAGUAUCAUUAACUGAAUACAUAGGUUAAUGAGGCGAACCGGGGGAACUGAAACAUCUAAGUACCCCGAGGAAAAGAAAUCAACCGAGAUUCCGAAAGUAGCGGCGAGCGAAAUUGGACUAGCCCUUAAGCUUUACACGCG
rnacentral:rRNA from 1 species